rnacentral:rRNA from 1 species
AGCCGGUACUCCGAAUGCUCUAGAUUAAGUUGAUCAUGGCUCAGNGCAUGAACGCUUAGCGGCGUGCCUAAUACAUGCAAGUCGAGCGAAUGGAUUGAGAGCUUGCUCUCAAGAAGUUAGCGGCGGACGGGUGAGUAACACGUGGGUAACCUGCCCAUAAGACUGGAAUAACUCCGGGAAACCGGGGCUAAUACCGGAUAACAUUUUGAACUGCAUGGUUCGAAAUUGAAAGGCGGCUUCGGCUGUCACUUAUGGAUGGACCCGCGUCGCAUUAGCUAGUUGGUGAGGUAACGGCUCACCAAGGCAACGAUGCGUAGCCGACCUGAGAGGGUGAUCGGCCACACUGGGACUGAAACACGGCCCAGACUCCUACGGGAGGCAGCAGUAGGGAAUCUUCCGCAAUGGACGAAAGUCUGACGGAG